rnacentral:misc_RNA from 1 species
UAUUUAACAUAGAUUCAAUUUUAUAUGCGAAAUAGUACAAGAAGCGAGAUAUGGAUUAUAAGCAAACAUUUCCUCGCGUAAAAACCCAUUGCUUACACUGUUACACAUCACUCUGUAUGGGCUUCACUAGUUUUUAGCGAAGCCCAAAAUCUCAAUAAAGCAUUACAUAUUUAUACAUUUCAAUAUGUACACAAGAUGCCUGAAGAAAAUUUCCUAAUAAAAAAUCUAAUCUACAGCAUAAUUCGAGUAA